GAGCAGCGGGAUGAAGAUAGCCGGGGUGGGGGGCGAACCUGUCGGGCCCUGCCCUCCCCCACCUGGCACCCCGUGUACACACAGGGACAAGCAACUUCGGACACUGCGGGUGUUCCCAACGUCGUCAACGCCCGCCGGGGCGCCCUCAGGUUAAAACAAGUUCUCCUGAAUAAGAGAAACAUUCAAAAGCAACUCCUCGCUGUCUCUAGAUUUCUAGGCAAAGA